rnacentral:lncRNA from 1 species
GCCCAGAUCCCCAUAAGUCAGCGAUGAGGGGGGCCGAGCAGGGGCUGCCCGUUAGACGGCCGCAGAGUCCCAGCCCCCAGCCCUGCUCACCUUUCUUACCUCUCUGGCCCCGUCGGCAUUUGAGCCUGGGACCCCAGACGAAAGGAUACGCUUCCUUUUAGAACCCCUGCCAAUCUGAGGACGGGGCCACCCCACAGACGCCGUGGCUCAGCAAGCAGACCAAUGGCCGAGGAGUCUGGCAAGGGGCGCUUGGCAGAUGAGAGUGGAGGUUGUAAAUCACCCUCCAUGCAAUGGUUCAUCAUAAAGGAUAUGGAGCAAAAUUAGAGGAGGCACGAGAAGGAAAGCCGGUGAUGAACAAGCCCAGAGACAGAAGCAGAUAAUGCAAGUGUCAUCUACAUCUGGCAAAAGCCAAAGGUUUGGAAGAUGGAAAAAGGAAUCCAGGCAAAAAGGAGCCCAAGAUUGAAGUGAAUGACCAGGUGCACCAGUUCAAAUGCAAUCAGGAGGGACAGGGGUAGAGGGAGAAGCCUAGAGCAGCGCUUCUCAAACUGACUAUUCAAGUCACCUGGAGAUCUUGGUGAAAUGCAGACUCUGGUGCAGUAGGUCCUGGCGGGAACUUGAAAUUCUGCAUUUUGACCAAGGUCCAAGGUGAAUGUCCAGUGCUGUUGUCCUUGGCCUGCAGCAGGAGGAGCAGGGAUCUAAGACUUGGAGAGCAAAUGUCAAGCUCAGAAGAAAGACUGGAAGUUUGGGGACAAAACCCAAAUAUGGCUAAAGAAAGCCUGUAGGAUGAAGUUGGAAGUUCCAGAGCCUUCUCUUCACAUAAUGGGACAUGCAAGGGGGAAACCAAAUCAAAAGUGUAGAAUGCGUCGCUGGAUGUCUUUGACAUGUUAUUGUUCUGAUAGAAUAUCAGCGGGGAGCUACUGAGGACCUCCUCACUACCCUCCCUUGGAAGAGUUUGUCUGCAAUGGAGCCAACACAGUGGAAAGCAGAGCUGAGAAAUGGACAAACAACUCCUGAUGCCUCAUUUGAGCACCUGGAUUUAGCCAUGUCUGAAGCUAUUAUAUCCUUGAACUUUUGAAUCAUGUAGGUUACCAUAAUUCCUUUUUUGUUAAAGCUAAUUUGAGUUGGGUUUCUAUCACUUGCAAUCAACAAUUGACCAGGUGCUUAGUACAUAAUGAAUGAGUGAAUGAACAAAUUCAAUUCUGUAAGUAUUUAUCAUCUCCUUACACGGCAGGCACUGUUUUAAGUCCCAAAGAAAGAGGCAGAGGAGCGACAGAGAUGACUUCCUCCCUUGAAAACGAAGCAUGUGGCCUGACAACCUAAAAUUGGGGUCAAUCCAUCCAAUUAUGGUGACUGCUUAGAAAUAUCCCUUUUCCUCCCAACGUUUUCCUUUCCUUCUCCCAUAAACAUAAUAAUGUCUCCUGCCAGUACUAAGGCAUGGCCCAUGGACCCACUAACACCUAUGCUCACGUUAGCUCUUGAGGCCGAGUGGCUUGGUUCUAUCUGGUUAUCAGAUGCAAACUUCAUCACAGCAGGGAUUUGGGCUAGACAUUAGAGGAAUAGUGUGGUACCAGAUGGUGUUUCUGAAGAAGGUUGUCCUAUUUUUGCAGUUUAAGGAUUUGAUAAUAAAUCUGCCUGGCAGCCCUCAGAUGUGA